AACCAUAGAAACCUGCGGAGUACCUGCGGAGGGAUCAUUAAAAAAAUGAUGAAUGUCGGGGGGCGUUCAGAAUUAGUUUUACUUUUUUUGUCGCUCUCCGUGUAUUCAACCAACCCGCUCUUGCAUUUGGAUCAACCAAAAAUAAACAAAAAUACUAAAAAUAAACUUUCAACAACGGAUCU
rnacentral:misc_RNA from 1 species